rnacentral:ncRNA from 2 species
GGUCACGAGUGCCAGCGCGAAGCCCCGGCUCGCUGGACGGCAACCCUCCUCCGCGGUGGGGUGCCCCGGGUGAUGACCGGGCCGACGCGACACCCGCAGUCGGCAAGCGCGGAUC